GUAGAUUGAUGAGGAUUUAAAAUUUUUUUUAAUCCAUUUUAGAAUAAGGCUGUAACGUAACAAAAUGUGGAAAAAGUCAAGGGGUCUGAAUACUUUUCGAAGGCACUGUAUCAACAUAGACUACAUUACUUCAGAGAAGGUGUACAUCAGCUGUGUGGUGAUCCUGUGUGAGGCGUGGGACCCCAGCACCCGGUGUGUCAGCACGGCAUCGCCACGGGAGAAAGGCCAUCCUGGAGACCGCCAAGCACUCCAUCUCCCAGGGGCCUUUGCGUGUGAGGAGGAGCGCUGACAGUGACAGGAAAGCUGCUGAUGUGGCUUUAAACCAGAACUUGGUGUUCGUCGCUGGAUGUUUCCUGGCAGCAAUCGCCAUGGUGCGCGGAGCUGUCAUCGAUAGAUCCAGACAGUCAAAGGUCAAAUAUCAACCACUAGUUGAUCAACCAUGAGUAGGGUGUAAAAUCACAAUACUGACCUUUAGAUUAGUGACUAGAGACAAUUGUAUCCCCUGCUGACCCCUCAACGCCAUUGGCCGUCAUCUAACCCACUUUUGAAAUAGAAUCUCAAACUGAUGCUUUAAUGAGGAGCGCGGUUUCAUGAACAACUACAUUAACUGUUUUUUUUAGAGACAUAAAUAAAUAAAUAAAAAUUACAAUCAAGAUUUACGAUCUGUCUGAGGUGGUUUGGAAAGAAAUUCCUUCCGUAAUGCCUUGUAGCGUC